UUUUUUAUUUUUUUAAAUUUUUUUUUUUUAAAUUUUUUUUGUUUUUUUUAUCUUCU
rnacentral:ribozyme from 1 species